CUACGGGCCGCACCAGUGGGGAAUAUUGCACAAUGGGCGCAAGCCUGAUGCAGCAACGCCGCGUGAGGGAUGAAGGCCUUCGGGUUGUAGACCUCUUUUAGCAGGGAAGAAGCGAAAGUGACGGUACCUGCAGAAAAAGCACCGGCUAACUACGUGCCAGCAGCCGCGGUAAUACGUAGGGUGCAAGCGUUGUCCGGAAUUAUUGGGCGUAAAGAGCUCGUAGGCGGUUUGUCACGUCUGCUGUGAAAAUCCAAGGCUCAACCUUGGACUUGCAGUGGGUACGGGCAGGCUAGAGUGCGGUAGGGGAGAUGGGAAUUCCUGGUGUAGCGGUGGAAUGCGCAGAUAUCAGGAGGAACACCAAUGGCGAAGGCACAUCUCUGGGCCGUAACUGACGCUGAGGAGCGAAAGCGUGGGGAGCGAACAGGAUUAGAUACCCUGGUAGUC
rnacentral:rRNA from 1 species